ensembl:rRNA 5S_rRNA 5S ribosomal RNA
GUCGGCAGCUAGCUCUCUGUAACUCUAACAUGGUUGCCCACUGAAGCUAAGCAGGGCUGCGCCCAGUCAGUACCUAGAUGGAAGACCACAUGGGAAAGCUAGAUUGCUGCCGGAA